GAUGAAGAACGUAACGAAAUGCGAUAAGUAAUGUGAAUUGCAGAAUUCAGUGAAUCAUCGAAUCUUUGAACGCACAUUGCGCCCCUUGGUAUUCCGGGGGGCAUGCCUGUUCGAGCGUCAUUUCAACCCUCAAGCUCAGCUUGGUAUUGAGUCCAUGUCAGUAAUGGCAGGCUCUAAAAUCAGUGGCGGCGCCGCUGGGUCCUGAACGUAGUAAUAUCUCUCGUUACAGGUUCUCGGUGUGCUUCUGCCAAAACCCAAAUUUUCUAUGGUUGACCUCGGAUCAGGUAGGGAUACCCGCUGAACUUAAGCAUAUCAAUAAGCGGAGGA
rnacentral:misc_RNA from 1 species